AAAUACUUUGAUAUUUUUAACAAAAGCAGUUACUGGGAGAAUAGAACCUAUCUCCAGAAGCAUGGAUACCCCUAAGAGAGAUAGGUGGUGUUCUUCCCUCAGCGUGUCACCUUUUUAUUUCUCUAAAAACAAUCUGAAGCAUCUUUCACAGGAAAACAAAACAAAACAGUAACUACAAAGCGCGGCUAGAAGGAACUGCAGACCUGGGGUUUCCAUCUUCGUCACCUGACGAGCCCACCUGGAUCAGCUCCUUUCCCAGAGUUCUCGCCCUCAGAGAGAAAUGAAAAAACAAUCAGCAGAGACCCCCAAGACGCUUGCUGCGAUUCCAGCCUCAGACCCUCACUUUGACAAGGGACGCGGAGUGAACUCUCAGGUUUGUGGCGGAGUCGCGGUAGCGACGCGACUCGACGGGUUUGCCUUCACAGCGGCUCCUUGCUGGUCUCUGCGCAUGCGUCUCGUGAACAACCGAAUUUCGGGUGUAAGAAUCACAAAUGAGGAAAGACGAGUCGUCCUUACCAACAAACAAAACAUGGAAAACAUC